rnacentral:rRNA from 1 species
UACGUAGGGGGCAAGCGUUGUCCGGAAUCAUUGGGCGUAAAGCGCGUGUAGGCGGCUCGGUAAGUCUGCUGUGAAAGUCCAGGGCUCAACCCUGGGAUGCCGGUGGAUACUGUCGAGCUCGAGUCCGGAAGAGGCGAGUGGAAUUCCUGGUGUAGCGGUGAAAUGCGCAGAUAUCAGGAGGAACACCGAUGGCGAAGGCAGCUCGCUGGGACGUGACUGACGCUGAGACGCGAAAGCGUGGGGAGCGAACGGAU